rnacentral:rRNA from 1 species
GGGAAACCGAGUCUUAAUUGGGCGUUAAGUUGCAGGGUAUAGACCCGAAACCCGGUGAUCUAGCCAUGGGCAGGUUGAAGGUUGGGUAACACUAACUGGAGGACCGAACCGACUAAUGUUGAAAAAUUAGCGGAUGACCUGUGGCUGGGGGUGAAAGGCCAAUCAAACCGGGAGAUAGCUGGUUCUCCCCGAAAGCUAUUUAGGUAGCGCCUCGUGAAUUCAUCUCCGGGGGUAGAGCACUGUUUCGGCUAGGGGGCCAUCCCGGCUUACCAACCCGAUGCAAACUGCGAAUACCGGAGAAUGUUAUCACGGGAGACACACGGCGGGUGCUAACGUCCGUCGUGAAGAGGGAAACAACCCAGACCGCCAGCUAAGGUCCCAAAGUCAUGGUUAAGUGGGAAACGAUGUGGGAAGGCCCAGACAGCCAGGAUGUUGGCUUAGAAGCAGCCAUCAUUUAAAGAAAGCGUAAUAGCUCACUGGUCGAGUCGGCCUGCGCGGAAGAUGUAACGGGGCUAAACCAUGCACCGAAGCUGCGGCAG